CUUGGUCAUUUAGAGGAAGUAACAGUCGUAACAAGGUUUCCGUGGGUGAACCUGCGGAAGGAUCAUUAACAAAUAUGUGAGCGCUCCAUUUGGAGAGCUACAUUUGCCCGCGAGGUGCUCUGGCGCUUCAAGGCACAUAUAUACGCGUGUUUGUGUGACUGUUUUGAUGUUUUAAAUUUAUACAACUUUUAACAAUGGAUCUCUUGGCUCUUGCAACGAUGAAGAACGCAGUAAAGUGCGAAAUGUAAUGCGAUUUGCAUGAAUCUGUGAGUCAUCAAGUCUUUGAACGCAACUUGCACUCUUGGCGUAAGUCAAGAGUAUACCUGUUUGAGAAUUGUAUCCUCUUCACGCAAGUGAAUGUGAUCCUUCAAGGCGCAAGCUUUAGGAUUUAAAUGAAGGAGAAGGGCGUUGGCCACUAGUUGCCAGCAUUGUGUGAUAGAGACCCCUGGGUCUACUCAUGAUGCUGGUGGCGCUGGCCAACAUCUAACCCUUCUAUAAACUUCUUGUCUUCAAUCUCAAAUCAGGUAAGGCUACCCGCUGAACUUAAGCAUAUCAAUAAGCGGAGGA
rnacentral:rRNA from 1 species